GCUCUCUGAUUCAGCGGCGGACGGGUGAGUAAUGCCUAGGAAUCUGCCUGGUAGUGGGGGACAACGUUUCGAAAGGAACGCUAAUACCGCAUACGUCCUACGGGAGAAAGCAGGGGACCUUCGGGCCUUGCGCUAUCAGAUGAGCCUAGGUCGGAUUAGCUAGUUGGUGAGGUAAUGGCUCACCAAGGCUGCGAUCCGUAACUGGUCUGAGAGGAUGAUCAGUCACACUGGAACUGAGACACGGUCCAGACUCCUACGGGAGGCAGCAGUGGGGAAUAUUGGACAAUGGGCGAAUGCCUGAUCCAGCCAUGCCGCGUGUGUGAAGAAGGUCUUCGGAUUGUAAAGCACUUUAAGUUGGGAGGAAGGGCAGUAAGUUAAUACCUUGCUGUUUUGACGUUACCGACAGAAUAAGCACCGGCUAACUUCGUGCCAGCAGCCGCGGUAAUACGAAGGGUGCAAGCGUUAAUCGGAAUUACUGGGCGUAAAGCGCGCGUAGGUGGUUUGUUAAGUUGGAAGUGAAAGCCCCGGGCUCAACCUGGGAACUGCUAUCAAAACUGGCAAGCUAGAGUAUGGCAGAGGGUGGUGGAAUUUCCUGUGUAGCGGUGAAAUGCGUAGAUAUAGGAAGGAACACCAGUGGCGAAGGCGACCACCUGGGCUAAUACUGACACUGAGGUGCGAAAGC
rnacentral:rRNA from 2 species